rnacentral:rRNA from 1 species
GUUAUAAAAAUAGCCAAAAAACCACACUAAUACUAAUAUAAUAAUAAAAUCAUUCCAAGUUGUAGUAUAGGGGAUAGAAUAAUAUUUUAAGAGCAAUAGAAACAGUACUGAAAAGGAAAAAUGAAAUAGAAAUUAAAUAAACCAUAAAAACAAAGAAAAGCAAAGACAAAAUCUUUUACCUUUUGCAUAAUGGUUUAGCAAGUCAAACCUAACAAAAAGAAUUUAAGUUAAUCACCCCGAAACCAGACGAGCUACUCUGGAGCAGCACAAUAGAGCAAACCCGUCUCUGUGGCAAAAGAGUGGGAGGACUUCAAAGUAGAGGCGACAAACCUAACGAGCCUGGUGAUAGCUGGUAGCUUGAGAAAUGAAUCUUAGUUCAACUAGAAAUAUUUUUUAAACAAAAUAAAGAAUCUAAUAAUACUUCUAAUAUAAUUAACAAGGGUACAGCCUUGUUAAUAAAGGAUACAGCCUAAUUAAAUGAAUAAUGAUUACAAUAUAAAAAGAAACAAACAAUGUGGGCCUAAAAGCAGCCACCAAAAUAAAAAGCGUCAAAGCUUAAUACAACCAACCCUUAUUAUCUAACUAAACAAUCAAAUUUCAAUACUAGUAUCAAGCCAAUCUAUAACAUAGAUAUGCUGAUGCUAAAAUUAGUAACAAGGACGCACCCUCUAAAUGCAAGUGUAAACCAUAACGAAACAUUCCCUGGUAAUUAACGAACCAACCUAAAAGAACUAUAAAACAAUAAAAACCUAUAAAAAUAAUCGUUAGCCCAACACAGGAGCAUAAAAGAAAGAUUAAAAGUUUAAAAAGGAACUCGGCAAACAAAAGCCCCGCCUGUUUACCAAAAACAUCGCCUCUUGACCAACUAAUAUAAGAGGUACUGCCUGCCCAGUGACACACGUUUAACGGCCGCAGUAUCAUGACCGCGCGAAGGUAGCGCAAUCACUUGUUUUCUAAAUAAAGACCCGUAUGAACGGCAAAACGAGGGCUUAACUGUCUCUUUAAACUAAUCAGUAAAAUUGAUCUCCUCGUGCAGAAGCGAGGAUACUAAUAUAAGACGAGAAGACCCUAUGGAGCUUUAGACCUAAACUACCUAAUUAUUUAUAACAUAUAAUUUUUAGACCUAGUCAACGUCUUAGGUUGGGGUGACCACGGAGAAAAAAAAAUCCUCCGAGAUGAAUAAGCAAAGAGAUACAUCUCUCUGCCAUAAGAAACUUAACAUAAUUGAUCCAAUAUCUUGAUCAACGAACCAAGUUACCCUAGGGAUAACAGCGCAAUCCUUUCUAAGAGUCCAUAUCGACGAAUGGGUUUACGACCUCGAUGUUGGAUCAGGACACCCAAAUGGCGCAGCAACUAUUAAAGGUUCGUUUGUUCAACGAUUAAAGUCCUACGUGAUCUGAGUUCAGACCGGAGCAAUCCAGGUCGGUUUCUAUCUAUAAAAAUUGUUUCUAGUACGAAAGGACCGAAAAAAUAAGGCCAAUUGAAUACAAAGCCUUUAAAUAUACUACUGAUAAUAACUCAAGAAGGACAAAACAAACUUCAAUGUCAAGAUACGACU